rnacentral:rRNA from 1 species
UGCCCUAGUAACGGCGAGUGAAGCGGCAACAGCUCAAAUUUGAAAUCUGGCCCUAGGCCCGAGUUGUAAUUUGCAGAGGAUGCUUUUGGUGACGCGCUUACCGAGUCCCCUGGAACGGGGCGCCACAGAGGGUGAGAGCCCCGUAUGGUUUGACGCCGAGCCUCUGUAAAGCUCCUUCGACGAGUCGAGUAGUUUGGGAAUGCUGCUCUAAAUGGGAGGUAAAUUUCUUCUAAAGCUAAAUACCGGCCAGAGACCGAUAGCGCACAAGUAGAGUGAUCGAAAGAUGAAAAGCACUUUGAAAAGAGGGUUAAAUAGCACGUGAAAUUGUUGAAAGGGAAGCGCUCGUGACCAGACUUGCGCCGGGCGGAUCAUCUAGCGUUCUCGCUGGUGCACUCCGCCCGGCUCAGGCCAGCAUCGGUUUUCGCCGGGGGACAAAAGCUUCGGGAACGUGGCUCCUCUCGGGGAGUGUUAUAGCCCGUUGCGUAAUACCCCGGCGGGGACCGAGGACCGCGCUUCGGCAAGGAUGCUGGCGUAAUGGUCAUCAGCGACCCGUCUUGAAACACGGACCGAGGAGUCAAGCAUUAGUGCGAGUGUUUGGGUGUAAAACCCGCACGCGUAAUGAAAGUGAACGUAGGUGAGAGCUUCGGCGCAUCAUCGACCGAUCCUGAUGUUUUCGGAUGGAUUUGAGUAGGAGCAUUAACGCUUGGACCCGAAAGAUGGUGAACUAUACUUGAAUAGGGUGAAGCCAGAGGAAACUCUGGUGGAGGCUCGCAGCGGUUCUGACGUGCAAAUCGAUCGUCAAAUUUGAGUAUAGGGGCGAAAGACUAAUCGAACCAUCUAGUAGCUGG